UAGGAUCCCGACGCCUCCUGGCAUCAUCC
rnacentral:sRNA from 1 species